UAUACACUUUUUCAUUCGGAAGGGUAAACACAAGGAGGCUAUUGUCCUCAGCCGCCGUAGAUCCUCCCCUUGGCCAACUCCUUCGAUCUGAAGCUUUUCCACUCAUUCCUUCCAUCUCUGCAAUCAUAAUCCCAUUUCGACAAGCAUAGACUGCGAGACACAGGUUAGUAUCGGGCCUUAACAUUUAGCAAGAACAAGGUUCAAGAAACAUGCUUCCUCAGUCAUCAGGUCUCUUUUCUGAAAGAAGAGAGUUGAUUGGCAUGGGAGGAAUAGGAAAAAAGGAAAUAGGCUUCAAGCAUUGUGGGCAUAGCUCCUAGACUUGUACAGAUUAUAGUAUAUGUCUAUUACAAGCAAACAAAUGAUCCCAAUCAAGCAGCCAGAGCUGGAGUAGGAGCUGGAGAUGGCCAUGAGUGAGGUGCAGGGCUUGUGCGAGGAUCAAGAGUUUGAUCAAAAUAUGUAGAAUCCACAACCUUUCGACUUUAUGUUUUUUUCUUGUUUUAGACACAUUGUUGUGUGAAAAAAAUGCUACUUGGGAUGAACAUGUAUUGCAUUUUAAAAUAGGUUUUGUGGCCAUCGUACAGCAUAUCAAGUCUCAACAUGAAGUUGAUGAUUUUUUUAUGGUCUUAUGCACAUUAUAUACUGUUGAGUCAAGCUCUAACUACCAUCUGAUUUUUUCA